rnacentral:rRNA from 1 species
CGCGUAGGCGGUCUAUUAAGUCAGUUGUUAAAGACCAUGGCUUACCCAUGGAGCAGCAAUUGAUACUGGUAGACUAAGAGGGCAAGAGAGAGAAGUGGAAUUCUCGGAGUAGCGGUAAAAUGCGUAGAUCUCGAGAGGAACACCGAUGGCGAAGGCAGCUUCUUGGCUUGUACCUGACGCUGAGGCGCGAAAGCGUGGGGAGCAAACA